GGCAAUUGUCUAGUCGGCGAAGGUAUUACUAAAACAACAGCUUCGUAAGAGACUGAAAUGGUUUUGCCAUGUUAAUACCCUUAAGAGGCCCAUCUGCUCUGUGAUCAUGAUCGUAAAUUCCAUCCACUGGUUCCGCAAAGGCUUGGGUCUCCAAGACAACCCUGUACUGCUGGAGGCAGUGCGAGGGGAAGACAGGCGAUGUGUCUUUCCUGGACCCCUGGUUGGCUGGGUCAUCUAACCUGGGCGUGAACAGGUGGACGUGAGUGGAACUGAGAGCAGUAGAGUUCCCACAGCAGGCAGACAUCUCAAAUCCAGCAGUGUACUUGGAAAAACUGCUUCAGGAGCUUCAUGAAAUGAUUCCAAGAGCAAUGGUACACAAGCCUAAGCUAAAUAUGCACAGUACCACAAUGUCAGAUGGACUCUGGAGCACUGGAAAGAUGACUCACACUUCACUUGCUGAUGGACAACUCUGGGUUUGGCAGAUAGAAGGAGACUUUAAAGUAAAGUUUGGUGGGGGAUGGAUAAGUCAGUCUGUAUUUCAGGGUUUGGGCUAGGUCUCUUGGUUCCAGUGAAAGGUUAUGUUAAUGCUACAGCAUUCAAAGCAUUAACAUUGGCAACAGUUUAGGGGAAGGCCAAGUCCUCAUCCACUAUGAAUGAAUGUAAUUUGAUGAGUUUGUUUGGAGGAACAUCGUCUGACUUCCCAAAUGCGCUUGACUGAAUGGGCUCAAGUUCGCACAGACACACUGCAAAAUUUUGUAGGAAGCAUGGAGGCUGUUAUACUUGCAAAUACAGGGCAACUCCAUAUUAAUGCCCAUGUUGUGUAAUGGGAUGUCGAACAAGAAAUACAUGUGUGGUGAUCAGGUGUCCACUUACUCUUGGGUAUGUAGUGUCUCACUAGAAAUCCUUAUCUGUCCCUCACAGGCCUCCGUACUUUGUCAAAUGUCUCUUGUCACCAUGGCCACCAGUUUGUAGUGCCACAGUAGCCAGAGAGUGGAAAAAGGUGAUUUCCCUGCUGCUUACUCUGGGUGCCACUUCACUACCUUGCCUGUGCUGCUUCUCAUGGCUUUGAUAUUUCAUUGUUUUCAUAAUUUGUGCUUGUACAUAUAGCUCACCUCAUUUAGCUGAGAGGCUCUGGGAAGAGGAAGCAGGAGGCAGAGCAUAACUGGUGUCAUGGUUCUGUUCUAAACGUUUAACGUUACAGUGUAGAGGUCAGUAUGAGGUCAAAAGGCAAAGUGCUGAGAGUUUAAAGCAUGCCAUGGUUCAUAAUCACAAAUUAUAAGAAAUUAGUUCAGUGAAUGAUUUUAAACUGAUCUAAUCUAAAACACAUGUUUAGUCAUUAUUACUGAAUAUUCUCUUUAGACCCUGGUUUGUUUUUUAAGGAAAGCUGAGGGUCAGUGGAGUGGCAGGGCUUUCUCUUUGCGAGCUCUGACCCUCACUGAUGGAUAGCUAUGGAUUCCUGUAUUAUGCAUGUUACACACCAUUUUUGUACUAAACUUGUAAAUACCUUGCUCAUCAAAUUGGUUGCAUGCAUAAGUACUGUAGUAUUGUCAUUACAAAAUCUCAGGUACCACUAAAUCAGUUUGGUAUUUUAGCAUCAGUUGACUAUUGCCCUUCAGUGAUCACUCAUCUGUAUUCACAUUUCAUACAUUCUGAAGUCCAAAUGGAGGUCAGUUUCAGACAGUUCCCCUCUUGAGUGCUGUUAGCUUCUCAGCUCUUCCAUCAGCAGUGCCCUGUUUUACAUUCACAACACGAAGCUCAACUGUGGAAACGAGCUAUGACCAGCACCCACCAGCUAUGACUAGUCUCCCAGACCCCACCCACUAGCCCUGGGUUUACUCAAUGACUCCAUCAGUCCUGCACCUCUCCUCCUCAGACUCCACCCAUAAGCCUUGCAGCUCUACAGACCCCUCCAGGAAACUUCUUUUCUCCUCAGAACUUGCUUUGUAUUUUUAAAACAUCCUGCUCAACUGUGUGUGGUAUAUUGGCUGGCUGUGGUUUUUAUUUUUCUAGUUUGUAGCAUUCCUAAAAAAAGAAUUGGAGCUGUGAUGUCUUACCAGAAAAUAAAAACAAGUCAACAAAUGGCUGUCUGUCUUUAGCUUGUAUGUGUCUGUUUUAA